UCCAUCACCCUUAUUCUUGUUUACGGCCGUAUCGCUUUCGUACGAAAGCAGCAGCGGCGUACGAAUGCCAUACGAACGCAUACGAAUCCGAUUCGUUCUAACCAAUUCGAGCUUUCGAACAUCGUUGCUUUCGUACGAACGUGCCAUUCUUGUUUACGUACGAAUGCGUAUCCGUAUUCUUUUUGCUCUCGUUCGCAAACGUCAGUCAAAAGUUGCGAAUCGCUGUACGAAUCGCCGGCGCCGGUAGUUUUUUCUUGUUUUUCUGCCGUUUGGUGUUAGUUUUUUGAAAAAAAAAUUAAACCGAAUAGUUUUUAUUGAUUUGUGAAGUGUAAGUAAAUUCUAAAGAACAUUUGUGAAAAUCCAUUCUCAAAAACCUCCAGUUGAUACAAAUCGCCGUCGCCGAGAAUGUUUUGGUUGUUUCGCGUGAAAAAAAAGCCGCUAGAAACUGAUUGAGGUUUGCCGUUAGUUCUGGGAGAAUGGUGAUAGAAAAAAGGAAUAAGUCGCUACCAUCAAGGUACUACAAAAAUCUGCCGAAUAUUUGGAUCGUCUUCCCGGCAACAGCAAAGCGUCAACCAGCAAGCAGAUUUGAUUGGCGCAGAUAGUUGACUGGGUAACAUGAUACAGGAUUAUUAAUUUAUCAUUGCUCUUGGAUGCCGAUUUGUGUACUAGAAAUAAUCGAUCAGGAGCUACUGGCUACUGGAGAUACAGGAGAUAACUUUGCUGGGUAAAUUAGGCAGUUUCCAACGCUUUUGAAAUUACCAGCAAAUAAGAAGACCAAGAAUACAACAAAGCAACCAAUUUCUUCGGAUGCCUCAAAUUUUCACAAUUGGGUCAAUGAACCACUACAAGCUACAAAGGACAGUUUUGAGAGCUGGUUCCGUUUGGUGUUGACCAAAAAUACAAAUGACGGAUAAUUUUAUUUUAUUUUAUUUAAUAAUGUUUAUUAAUAUUAAGAUUAAGAUUUAAUAAUAAUUUUUUUUAAAUAUUUUCAUAA